GAAGAACCUUACCCACCUUUGACAUGCCGGUUAUCGAUCAGAAAAGGGAGGGUCCUUUAGGGAAACCGGCACAGCUGGUGCAUGGUUGUUGUCAUCUCGUGCCGUGAGGUGUUGGGGUAAGUCCUCCAACAAGGGCAACCCCCCUCCUCAUUUGCUAGCACAUAAAGUUGGGCACUCUAAUGAGACUGCCGGUGACAAACCGGAGGAAGGUGGGGAUGACGUCAAGUCAUCAUGCCCCUUAUAUCUAGGGCUACACACGUCAUACAAUGGCCGGUACAAAGGGUAGCGAACCCGCGAGCCGGAGCCAAUCCCAAAAAGCCGGUCCCAGUUCGGAUUGCAGUCUGCAACUCGCCUGCAUGAAGUGGGAAUCGCUAGUA
rnacentral:rRNA from 1 species